ensembl:lncRNA
AUGUGUUAAUUUUAUAAUCAAUCCAGCCAUAAGAACUCAAAAAGAGAAAGAGAGAAAUUUCCCUUUCUGUGCUAUUAUAAAGCAAGUUUUAAUAUACUUUAAAGGGAUAAAAUAGUUCAGAGUAUUUUUUACCAUCCAUAGUGGAAUUAAGAUAGAUGUACCAAAAGACUACUAGAGCUCAUCAAUGAUUGGUAAAGUUGCAGGGUACAAAAUUAAUGCACAGAAAUCUGUUGUAUUUCACACACUAAGAGUGAGCUAUCGGAAAGAGAAAUUAAGAAAACAAUUUCGUUUACUGUCGUAUAAAAAGAAAUAAAAUAACUAGGAAUAACUUUAACUAAGGAGGUAAAGAUCUAUACCCGGAAAACUCUAAGACACUGAUGAAAGAAUCUGAACAGAAGGAAAAUAUACUUUGUUCAUAGAUUGGAAAAAUUAAGAUUGUCUAAAAUGAAAAUACCACCCAAGGCAAUCCACAGAUUCAAUGCAAUACUCACCAAGAUAGCACAGACUAGAACAAAUAAUACUAAAAAUUGUAAGAAAACACGAAAGACCCCAAAUAGCCAAAACAAUCUUGAGAAAGAACAAAGCUAGAGGUGUCACGUUGUCUGUUUUCAAACUGUUACAAAUCUAUAGUAAACAAAACAGUAUGGCACUGGCACAAAAACAUAUACAUAUAGAUCAGUGGAACAGAGUAGAGAGUCGAGAAAUGAACCCACACUUAAGUGGGCAAUUAUCUGUGACAAAGGAUGCAAGAAUAUAUAAUGAGGAAACGACAUUCUCUUUAACAUACAGUGUUGAGAAAACUGGACAAUUACAUUCAAAAGAAUAAAACUGGACUAUUGUCUCACACUAUUCACAAGAAUAGAUUAAAAAUGGAUUCAAGACUUAAGUGUAAGACCUGACACCAUAAAACUUAUAGAAGAAAACAUGGAUUUUAAACUUGGAGUAGAGUUUCUCUGGCUGAAUGUUCACUUCUUUCUCUGGCAGUCACCUCAUUCUUUUUAAUAGUUCUUAUUUUCCUUGAUUAAAUAAACAAGUAUCCAUUUGCCUCGCAACUGACAUACUACUAGUAAAAUUUCUUCAGGGUCUUUAAAAAAAAUAUAUGUGCAAAACCCAGUCUAUUCUGCUGUGGCAAGGGCCUUCUGAACAAAAAGCUGCUCUUCUUUCACUACCUAUAUUUAACUACCUUGACAUUUCUAUUUGCUGAGAAAAUCUUAACCUCAAACAUUUGCAGUUGUUCUUAAAAAAAAAAAAAAGUCAGAUCUGAAACAGUUAACUGUGGUUUUAGCUCACAGAUGAAAACUGGAGACAAAAUGCAUGAGACCAACAUUGUAGAGAAAGACUUUUUUCCAACUGAACUGAGUGUAAAUCCAGGUAAGAAGUUGGACUGCAUGGAGUGAGUGUGGGAAGCGGGGUAGUAAGGUGGUGGAAUGGUCAACAGGAUGAGAGAUGGAGUUCUGGAGGUCAUAAAUUGGUUUAUAAUUUAUAAACCUAUAAAAUAUAAGCAGAUAUUGAAAUUCUUGUCCUAGCAAGUAAGGAGAGGGAAUUAUUAAGAGAAAGAUGUAAGAGAAAGGAAUUGGGUUAAAUUUAUGAUGGAGAAUGAAAUGAUUAACUUCACUGAGGAAAAAAACAUACUGUAAAGUGUUGCACAGAUGCAUAUUAUUAUUAUUAAAUAAGGUAGAAAACCUAUCAUGGAAGCUUAUAGGAGAGGAAAUAUUAAAAGGUAAGUAAAAGAUAUUUUCAAAUUUAAAAAGUGAGCAAGGAGUUCACUUCUGGCACAGCGGGUUAAGGACCCAGUGUUUUCACUAUAGUGGCUUGGGUCACUGCUGUGGCACAGAUUUAAUCACAGGCUCACUGGCACAGGAACUUCCACAUGCUGCAGGAGCAGCCAAAAAAAAAAGAAAGUGAACAAGUAAAAACUUAGUAGAGUGCUCAAAUGAAAUAUAUUACAUUGGAUGCACCGUAAAAAGAAAAAUUAUAUAUAAACUAUAUAAUAUCACAUAUUAAAUAUUUAUAUAUGAAUUUAAAAUUUAAAAAAUUGUGUGAUGAUUUAAGUGAAAAAUGGUUUUUACUAAUUAUGGGAAAAAAGUCAUAAUUUAAGUCAGAAGAAUUUCUUUAUCUUUGAUAAAAGUAGAAAUCAAUCAACUCAGAGAGAAGGUAAUUCAGAUGAGGAAAGAUGAUUUCUAAUUCUUGUUAAAUGAUUUCAUUUAUUUCUUCAUUCAUUUUGUAUUUUGAGUAUAUUUAUAAUAGCUGCUUAUAAUAUUUGCCAAAUAUUUCCAACAUCUGUGUCACCUUGGUGUGGUUUCUACUGCUUGUCUUUCCCCACGCAAGUUAAGCUUUUCAUGACUAUUCAUAUGCUGUAUAAUUUUGGAUUGUAUUUUGGACAUUUUGAAUAAAUAUUUUGUAUGAGAUUCUUUACAUUGUUUAAAUCUUUGGAGCACAGGAAUAUUUUUGAUUUUAGCAGGCAAUCACUCUGGCUAGCUUCAGGCCUUUUGUAGGCUCUGGUUCCAAUGUCAGCUCAGUUUUUAGAGCCUUUGUAGUGUUAUUCAGAUAUUGCUUUUUUUCUCUUCUUUCUUUUUUAAAUAAAUUUUUAUUUACAGUGUUGUAUUAGUUUCAGGUGUACAGUGAAAUGAAUCCGUUAUACAUAUACAUAUAUCCAUACUUUUUUCCAUAAAUUGGAAAAAAGUUAUUACGGAACGUUGAGUAGAACUUCCUGUGCUACUCAGUAGGUCCUUGUUAGUUAUCUAUCUAUUUUAUAUUAGUACUGUAUAUGUGUUAAUCCCAUCCUCUCAAUAUAUCUCUCCCCACCACGGUUCCCCUUGGGGUCACCCUAGGUUUGAUUUCAAAAUCUGUGUUUGUUUCUGUUUCAUAAAUACAUCCUUUUGUGUCAUUUUUACUACAUUCCAUAUAUAAUUGAUAUCAUAUGAUAUUUGUCUUUGUCUGACUUACUUCACUUAGUAGAUAUUUCUUGCAAGUGCAUCAACCAGUGGCCAAUCUGAAAUUUGGGCAAUGUUCCAUUGUGAAGAGUUUAUGUUUCAUGUCUUUGGUACCUUAAUUGGGGUAAGGUGUAAGUAUGCACAGCUUGUAUGUGUGUAUGUGUUUAUGUCUGUUUGGGGGUGGUGGGGAGUCCAGAAGUUUACUAAUAAGAUUCAGAGUUCUCUUUACAAAGUUCCUUCCUCUUCAUUCAUUUACCUCUGAGUCCAUGUACCUGUUUUAACUAGCUAGAUUCCUGCUAGAUUAGCAUGGACAUAGGUCUGAGGAGUUCUUAUUAAUUAUGCUAUUAGAUACCACUAAAUUGUUUUGUAUAAAAGAAUUAUAUCUUUUGCGAAAAUCCUUGUGUAAAUAUACUCAAAGCCAUGCUUCUUUUUUCUAGCCUCCAGCCAGAAAUUUGUGACUGUAAUUUCCUCACUCUACUAUGGACUUCUCAAUGGUGGCUGCAUCUGUAAGACAGUGAAGCAGGAGGAAAGAGAGCAAGGAGGAAAGAAAAAGCAAAGGGUUUGGUCCACCUUCUUAGAAUCACAGCUGUAUCAAAUGGAGAGGAUGGUUCACCUCCCUCAGGAUUUCAGCUAUUAGGUGUCAUAGUUGCCACAGCCCUGCCAUCUUGAGAUUGCCUGAGGUCUGAGGCAUACCAGAAGAGAAUGGAGUAUUUUCAUAUUCUCCCUCUGUGUUAGGAGCUCAUUUUCCUACUCAAACCAGAGCUAGACUGCCUCUCCUGGAGCUCUCUCUGUCUCUGCCCUAAGGGAUGCUCAAUGCAGGUUUCUAGGUAUGUUGUAUUCUGGGUACCGAUACUGCAGGUUGGAGGAGAUGUAAAUUCAACACUGGUUGAUUUGGUGGUAACUUGAAUUCUGGUGUUCUCAAUAUGAUUCCUUCUACUAGAUAGUUUUUCUUUUAUUUAUUUGCUUUUUAGGCCCACACCUGAGGCAUAUAUAAGUUCCCAAGCUAGGGGUGAAAUCAGAGCUACUGCUGCCAGCCUAUGCCACAGCCAUAGCAACUUGGAAUAUGAGCCACAUCUGCGAUCUACACCACAGCUCACGGCAAUACCAGAUUCCCGGCCAACUGGGUGAGGCCAGGGAUCGAACCUGCAUCCUAAUGGAUACUGGUCAGACUCAUUUCCACUGUACCACAAUGGUAGCUCCUACUAGAUAGUUUUUAGAGUCUUUAAGUAGCUGUUGGAUGCAUUCUGUCCAGAUUUGAUAUUUACAUUUAGUCGGGGAGACACUAUGUGGUGUGCUAAUUCCACUUACAUUGAACCAUAAUCACCCAUUUGUUGGGUGUUUGUUGAAUACUUUCUAUUCAUAGGCACUGACCUAGAUUCUGGUGGUACAAUGGCAAGCAAAAAGACAAGGCUCUGUCCCAGAUGAAGCGUACCAUUAAAUGACAAAAGAUUUUUAUUUAUCAUCCUUCCUUUUUUAACACAACUUUUUUUGCCUUUGGCCUUUUUCAAAUCAGUGCCCACCUCCCAAUAAGGUUUUUUGAUUGGUCUAUCCUCUUCUACUCAGAAAUACUCAUGGAUAUCUAAAUUUUAUAGUUUAGACCUAACCUGAGACUUCUAUUCUGUUCUGUAAGGUAUAUAAAUUUAUCAUCACGACGGUAUAUAAAUUUAUCAUCACGACCUAACAGAGAAAACUACCUUCUAAAAGACUUCAAAGACUUCAGAUGUCCGGUAGGAAAUAAGAGGCAUAGAAAUCAUUGCUCCCAUCUAUAC